GGGCGUAUGGUCUAGUGGUCAAGACGUCUCAGGUGCAAUGAGAAGAUCCCAGGUUCGAAUCCUGGUAUGUCCA
rnacentral:tRNA from 1 species